rnacentral:rRNA from 1 species
GUAUUAGCUAGUUGGUGAGGUAACGGUUCACCAAGGCAACGAUACGUAGCCGACCUGAGAGGGUGAUCGGCCACACUGGAACUGAGACACGGUCCAGACUCCUACGGGAGGCAGCAGUAGGGAAUCUGCCGCAAUGGGCGAAAGCCUGACGGAGCAACGCCGCGUGAGUGAUGAAGGUCUUCGGAUCGUAAAGCUCUGUUGUUAGGGAAGAACAAAUGUGUAAGUAACU